ACGUAGGAGGCGAGCGUUAUCCGGAUUUACUGGGCGUAAAGCGCGUGCAGGUGGUUCGGUAAGUUGGAUGUGAAAGCUCCUGGCUUAACUGGGAGAGGUCGUUCAAUACUACCGGGCUUGAGUGUGGAAGAGGGAAGUGGAAUUCCGGGUGUAGUGGUGAAAUGCGUAGAUAUCCGGAGGAACACCAGUGGCGAAAGCGGCUUCCUGGUCCAUUACUGACACUCAGACGCGAAAGCUAGGGGAGCGAACG
rnacentral:rRNA from 1 species